rnacentral:pre_miRNA from 1 species
AGUGGGAUAGUUGGGUCAAAUGGUGGUUCCAUUCCUAGUUUUUUGAGGAAUCUCUAUACUGCUUUCCAGAGUGGUUUUCUCAAUUUGCAGUCCCACUAGCAGU